rnacentral:rRNA from 1 species
GAAUGUAUCCGUGCCCUGGACAUGGGCGCAGGACACGUGCCGUUCCGCGGGUCCAAACUCACCGAGG